rnacentral:lncRNA from 1 species
AAGAUUGCAUGUUUCAAGAUAAAAUUCGUUAUUUAUUUUGCGUUAUAUAAUUUUUGAAAUAACUUAUAAUUCAAUAUGUGUAUUCUCCGUUGUAAAUAAUGAAAAUUAUUCAAACAUAAUCUGAAUUUUUUAGAAGAUACGUAAAUUGAAAUAGAAAGAAUUCUCAAUAUUUUUUAGUUACACCGAAGGUAAAAAUUAUGUUUAUUCUAUAUGGAGACAUAAAUUAUACGUUUAUAUAAAUGUGUACAUAUAUGUGUAAUAUGUGUGAGUAUUUAAAUGUAUGUAUAAUAU